AAUGAACGUUGGCGGCGUGGAUUAGGCAUGCAAGUCGUGCGGAAAGGCUCCUUCGGGAGUACUCGAGCGGCGAAAGGGAGAGUAACGCGUGGAUAUCUACCCCCUGGCCUGGGAUAGCGGCGGGAAACUGCCGGUAAUACCAGAUAAUAUCUGCGGAUCAAAGGUGUGAUUCCGCCGGGGGAUGGGUCCGCGUCCUAUUAGCUAGUUGGUGAGGUAACGGCCCACCAAGGCUGAGACGGGUACCGGGGGUGAGAGCAUGGCCCGGCUCACUGGGACUGGGACACGGCCCAGACACCUACGGGUGGCUCGAGUCGAGAAGCUUCGGCAAUGGGCGCAAGCCUGGCCGAGCGACGCCGCGUGCGGGAUGAAGGCCUUCGGGUUGUAAACCGCUGUCAGAGGGGAGGAAAUGCAUGGGGGUUCUCCCUCAUGUUUGACCUAUCCUCAGAGGAAGUACGGGCUAAGUUCGUGCCAGCCGCCGCCGUAA
rnacentral:rRNA from 1 species